rnacentral:rRNA from 1 species
ACGAACGCUGGCGGCGUGCUUAACCCAUGCACGUCGAACGGAAAGGCCCUGCUUUUGUGGGGUGCUCGAGUGGCGAACGGGUGAGUAACACGUGAGUAACCUGCCCUUGACUUUGGGAUAACUUCAGGAAACUGGGGCUAAUACCGGAUAGGAGCUCCUGCUGCAUGGUGGGGGUUGGAAAGUUUCGGCGGUUGGGGAUGGACUCGCGGCUUAUCAGCUUGUUGGUGGGGUAGUGGCUUACCAAGGCUUUGACGGGUAGCCGGCCUGAGAGGGUGACCGGCCACAUUGGGACUGAGAUACGGCCCAGACUCCUACGGGAGGCAGCAGUGGGGAAUAUUGCACAAUGGGCGGAAGCCUGAUGCAGCAACGCCGCGUGCGGGAUGACGGCCUUCGGGUUGUAUACCGCUUUCGCCUGUGACGAAGCGUGAGUGACGGUAAUGGGUAAAGAAGCACCGGCUAACUACGUG